UAAAGCUAUUUCCCUGGGGCUUCAGGAAAGCUCCACCCAGUCCUAAUUCUCAUUUUACUCUAGAGAAAACACGAGGACUUUUCUUCUUUCUUCUUCUUUUUCUUUUUCAAGGCUGUCUUUUUGUUUCUUUUUUUUUUUAAGUUUUCUGUAUCUGUCAGAAUCUUGAUUUCAGGAAAGCUUCAUUUUCACUUCGUGACUGAUGGCUGAACAGGUGGCUUCUGAAUUUACAAGUGUCAUAUGAACAAGCCGUUUAGAAAUGGACAAUUUGCAGCUCACUUUCUCCUGCUGACAGCCCUUUUUUCUGCUGACAGAUUCUUGCCUCUUCCAGCCAAAUAAAUUCAUGGAGAAUCUGCCCACGCCCCUUGUGUUGCCGCCCCCCGCUCCCCCAGCCAACAAAACAUCAUUAGGAGGGGGAAAAAGAACAGAGCCCAUCUCUUGAGAGCUGCUAGCCAUGAAAUGGAACAAACUUUACUGUUCAAGGCUUCUUUGCUCGCUCGGCCUCGGCUUUCUGUUCUUGCACAUCUGCACUUAAUUCUGCUUAGUAGGAGGCUGAUCCAAAGCCCACUAAAACCAGUGGAAAUUUUCAUCCUUGCUUCAACAGUGUGGAUCAGGUUGUAAGCAGUGUUCCCUGUAACCUGAGCUCUUGUACAGCCACCCAGGAGAGACUUAGAAGCCGGCCAACUGAUUAGCAGAGCACCGACAGCUAGGUUUUUUUGUUUCUACUGGAGGUGUACAUGUGCACGUCCCUCAAUGCACAUUAAAUUAUUCUGCACACUUGUGGAAAAGAUUAGAGGGAACAUUGGUCCUAAGGGAUCUCCCUGUCCCAUGGACCUGACAGAAGCCUGAAGAGAGAAAAUGAGACUAACAGGAACACCAGGCUCCUGCCAGCACAAGGUGAGUUAAAAGCGCCAAGUCCAGGCUUCUCUCAAUCUCCCCGUCUGCCUUCCAGCCCCCGUGGUGUCCCACUGAACAGAAGCAGCAUCUCUAAGCCAACACUGAUGAAAUCGUGUUGGGGAAGGAGCGAACUGGAGGACCUGACAGAUCUCUCCUUUUGUACCGACCUGUCCUACGCAUGCCUUCAACUCCCACUGCUCCAGUGACUCCAGGUGGUUUGAAGAAUGCAGUUUGAACAAUCUCCGCAGAAUCAGCCCCAUUUUAAAUAGUGUUUACAUCUCUGCACUCAUUCCUUCCCCUCUCCACUGCAGUAAUAAAUGUCACUGCCCUCUCCUUCCAUCUCCAUCUCAUACUCCCAUCUUCACAACUCCUUCCAGCUCUCGGAUUGUCUCCCUUGCUGUUUAAUCACCCAGCAACCCCAUAUCACCAUCCUCUCUCACCAACUGCUGUGCUGGUGCAGGUCCAUACAAAGAGGUUCUGAUGCCUAGUCUACACUUGAAACUUGCCAGAAUAGCUACAUUGAUCCAAGAUAUGAUUCUUUUCCCCACUCCUUAAACAAUGUAGCUAUACUGCCAAAAGCUCUAGGGUAGUAAGCUAUACAAGCAAAAAAUGAGCUUUUGCCAGUAUAGCUUAUUUCAUUCAGGGCACUGAUAUAAAUGCCACUGGAAAAAGCACGCUUUGCCAGUAUAACAUCCAUCUCCACUAGAAGGUAGUGGAGUAUAACAUCCAUCUCAUUCUAGUGUAGACAAGGCCUAAUACAGAGCCUUCAGCUGAGUGCCCCAGUGCAUAUAGGUUUGGUUUACUAUGUCCAUUGUCUUAGAUUGUGAAGUGCUCAGAAACAGAGCUAUGUUCUUUGUGUCUUGUACAAAUGAUCACCAAUAUAAAUCCAUGCCAGAGAAUAUUUAACUGGAAAGGAAAAAUGAUAUGGUGAGUAAAGCCCAGGAAAGGGACUUGGGAGAUGUGGGUUCAAUUUGCCAUGAACCCCUUAGACUACCUUAGGCAAGUCAUUUCAUCUAUCUGUGCCUCAGUUUCCCUUCUGUACACUGGAGAUAACAAUGCUCCCUUUCUCUGUCUGGUCUAGCUAAAGGACUGCCUCUUACAAUGUGUUCAUAUUGGGCAUGGCACAAUGAGUCCCGGAUCCUGUUGCAGCCUGUAUAUUGUGAUACAAUCAACAAUUAUAGCAGAGACUAUUCAAUAGAAACAAAGCACAGGUAAAGCUUAGAGUUGGUCAAAAAUAUCAAUGAUUAUUAAAGAUAACAAAUAAUAAUUUUCCUAUGAAGAGUCUUCACUUUCCAACCAAAACAAAACAGAGAAUUUCAGCCGAAAUGAAAACAUUCCAUAAAACAAGCUGGACAAAAAAGUUCUUCUAUUAAGAAAUGUUUCUACCCACUUUCACUGUGGUCCCAAUAUCUAUAACACCUACGUACCGUUUGGUUUACACAAUUCAUUUUUUGCUCAUUUCUAAGGGCCUUGUGCAUGAGUUUGUUGACACCAGGGAUGCAGGUCUUGGAAGUCUGUCUCGAUCACCCUCACCAACUCUGUAACAUGGGCCACAUUCCAUCGAAGUCUCUGUGGGUCACAGGUGCCUCCCCAUGUAUUCAGGCCAUCAGCGUUUAUUUUUAGCAAGUGAGCAUUACCAACCGAACACUCCUGCCAUUAGGGAGAGAGAUGGGUUUGAAUGGAAAAUCAGCAGCUUCAUCUACACUAUAAAGGAAGAAUGUGUGAUUGGAUUUGCUUAUUGGAAACACAAAAGCACGACUGAGAGGACAGCAAAGCAGAAAGCCUGCAAAACUUUGACAGAGGGGCUCUCUUUCGGGGAGCCUCCUGUGAGGCUCAGGAUUCAAAAUUUGACAGAGCGGAAGCCUGGACAUGUGUGAAACAGGGGCUAUUUUCCUGCAAUUCUGCAGGAAAAUAGGAGCACGGAGACACGCUGCCUGUCUGGAGUUCCAUAAAACAGAUCUUUUCCUUGUCAUUAAGAAUAUUGAUGUUCAUUAGGCCCGGGCGUCAACGAGUCUUUGUGCAAAUGAAACGAAAUCUGAGUCAAAUUGUGACCCUGAGUCCAACACAUAACCGCAGACUUGCUGGGAUCUGGCGAUUCAGUUGCCCCCACCAGCACAUUCACAGACAAUCCCUUUCCUAAGACAAAAAUCUACCUAAAUAUAGUAAUUGGUCCUAAAUGACAGUUCCAGGAAUGACAAAAAAUUGUGCUUGGUGGAGAUAGGAAUUAUAAUACAGGGGGAGCAGAAUAGGGUGACUUUGGGGUGGUCUCUCAAGACAGAUGCUUCCCUACUAUCUUACUUCCCCACUAGCCCAGAUUCUGGACUACCACCAGCUGUUAGGAGGUAAAGUUCUUUUUUUGAUAUAGGGCUUUGCUGGGUGCUUGAGGUUGAUUUUCCUCCUGUACAAAUAGCUGGCUAAUAAAUGAAGCUUGAGCCCCGUAAUUCACUGCAAGCCGGUUUGAUGGAGCCCUUUUAGUGUGACGGGUGCUUUUCGGCGCUAACGUCUCGUUGAUAUUAACAGUCGUGCACAUGGAGUGAAAUCUGCAAUAUAUAAACCAACGGCUUGCUAAAUAUUUCUAGGAUUGCACGUCUCACUGUCCCAUUCAUUUCCUUGACCUUUCAUAGGGGUAAUGGGGAGAAGGGGGAAGGAGAAGGAGGUGCUGGAGCAUGGUACUUUCCAAAAUGUGAACAUGGUGCAGCCAAACUGGCUCCCCCAGACUUGGAUGCUGAGGCUUGGAGCUAAGGACCUGUUCCUUUCACGCCUGCAUUUCAUAAAAAUAAAUAAAGAGAAACCAGCUCUGGCAGCGGGCAGGCUUGCUUGAGCAUUGUCUGAAUAGGGACUGGCAAACAUCUCUCCAUAAGAGCCUGCUCUGCCACGAACAUGCACAUCACUGGGUUCAUCCCUUAUUCUGGAUCAACACAACAGCCAAUUUGAUCACUAUAUCCCAGCAGACUCCAUGCACAGCUGUUUCUUAGGGAGGGUACCACGACCUAGCAAUAAAAGAAAAGAAUAAGCCAAGAAGAUGCCUGGAUUCUGUUCCUGGCUCUGCCACUGAUUUGCUGUGUGAUCUUGGGCAAAUCAUUUUCCCUGUGCCUCAGUUUUGCCCCACCUGUUAAACAAAACAAACGUGUAACAAACCCUCCUACACUAAACCAUGAUGAGGCUUAGUGCUUGGAAAGCACUUUGAGAUCUUUAGCUACAAAACAUGACAAAAAGAGGCAAGUAUGGUAACUGAACCUUAGAUAACUGGGCUUUGCAGAAGCCCGGUGUGUAGGAAGAUACCACUCCUAUACCUGCAGCAUGAUGGGGGGCAGCUGGUGUGGAAUUCUGGGGCUCUACAAAGAAUAGGGGUGGUGCUGGCACUUGGAUAGAAGGUCACAGCUCCGAUGUGGCACGAUGACAUUUGGUCUAAUAACUGCACUGAGCUGAUGGAGUCUGGCAAACGACAAAUCCUUUCUUUGUGCUUGUCUCAUUAUUCAGCCCUUAAAUGGUUAAACACCCUCUGUGUUCACUUAAACUGUCACUUUGCAGAGCUGCCAAAAUAUUUUGAUGGCUUGUACCAGAUCUCCUUGGCAGACUGUUCUUUCAGAUGAAUGAGAGACUUUGGACUGCCUAGCAAUGAAUAAUGCAUAACCAAGGCGCCCCCUACUGACUACCAGGAUCCUUAGCAGAGUUACAAACCUCAAAGUUGCAACACAAAACCACAGAAGGUCUCAUAUUAGGUACUUCUGAACAAGUCCCCAAAGGAUGUUUCUCUCUAUAUAUCCAUAUCUUACUGCCUCCAUUCAAGAUGGAAUUGGGGGGAGAUCUUUCCAUAUGCCUGCAGAUCUGCUUAGGUGACAAGGAAUCAGUCACAGUUAAAGGAAGAUGUUUAUAGGUAAAUGAUGGUGAAUUUCGAUUUUACCAUACACCCGCAAACUAAGAAAAGAUAUUUCCAUCAAUAGCAAUCAAAAUGUACAGACAGGCAAAGUAAGAAAAAUGCCGCCUGAGAACUUAUUAGAGUUUGAUUUAAGGAUAUUGACUUUGCAUAUUUUGACGUGUAAUGUUGACAAUUUAAGUUGUAAUGGUUAUAAAAUUUGAACUUUUUGAAUCUCGGUGUAUAUGGUCAUUAAAUAAUUAUCAUCAAAGGCCACCUCCCCCACUGUUUGAGCAUUCCAUAAUUUCUUGAAACUGGGAAAAUUUAAAUUGAUAAAAAUCAGGAAAAAAUGCUUAAAAUCAACAUAGAUAAAUGUCUGACAAUUUUUUUAAAAAUAACUGAAUUUUUCCAAGCCUAGUUAAAGGACUUUGGACAAACUGCGCUUGCAGGCUAUAUAUCACUGGUAGUAACUAGAAGCACUGAAGUGGGGCAUUAUAGAAUGAUGCAUGUGUUAGGAAAUGGUCAGACUUUAAAACGAAAGAACCACAUACACCCUAAGGGACACCUAUGGGCUCAGAUCAGGUCUGAAUA